UACGUAGGUGGCAAGCGUUGUCCGGAUUUACUGGGCGUAAAGAGCGCGCAGGCGGUCGUGCAAGUCGCGUGUGAAAGCCCCCGGCUCAACUGGGGAGGGUCACGCGAUACUGCUCGACUCGAAGGCAGGAGAGGGAAGUGGAAUUCCCGGUGUAGUGGUGAAAUGCGUAGAUAUCGGGAGGAACACCAGUGGCGAAGGCGAACUUCC
rnacentral:rRNA from 1 species